AUUGAACGCUGGCGGCAGGCCUAACACAUGCAAGUCGAGCGAGCGGCGGACGGGUGAGUAAUGUCUGGGAAACUGCCUGAUGGAGGGGGAUAACUACUGGAAACGGUAGCUAAUACCGCAUACCAUCAGAUGUGCCCAGAUGGGAUUAGCUAGUAGGUGGGGUAACGGCUAACCUAGGCGACGAUCCCUAGCUGGUCUGAGAGGAUGACCAGCCCAACGGGAACUGAUAAACGGUCCUGACCCCUACGGUGGGAAGAAGGGGGGAAAAUUGCAAAAUGGGGGCAAGCCGGAUGAGGCCAGGCCGCGUGGGUGAAGAAGGCCUUCGGGUUGUAAAGCACUUUCAGCGGGGAGGCGUUACCCGCAGAAGAAGCACCGGCUAACUCCGUGCCAGCAGCCGCGGUAAUUC
rnacentral:rRNA from 1 species